AUUGAACGCUGGCGGCAGGCCUAACACAUGCAAGUCGAACGAGUGGCGGACGGGUGAGUAAUGUCUGGUAAACUGCCUGAUGGAGGGGGAUCACUACUGGCAACGGUAGCUAAUACCGCAUACCCUCAGAUGUGCCCAGAUGGGAUUAGCUAGUUGGUGGGGUAACGGCUCACCAAGGCGACGAGCCCUAGCUGGUAUGAGAGGAUGACAAGCCAAACUGGAACUGAGACACGGUCCAGACUCCUACGGGAGGCAGCAGUGGGGAAUAUUGCACAAGGGGCGCAAGCCGGAUGCAGCCAUGCCGCGUGUAGGAAGAAGGCCUUCGGGUUGUAAAGUACUUUCAGCGGGGAGGCGGUACCCGAAGAAGAAGCACCGGCUAACUCCGUGCCAGCAGCCGCGGUAAUUC
rnacentral:rRNA from 1 species